ACAUAAGCCGCGUUUCCACCGCAGGAACUAUACCCCGGAACUAGGAACCUUUUGAGGAACUCAGUGCGUUUCCACCGCAGGAACUAGGGUCUAAAUUUAGUUCUGGGGGCUUUGUUUUACCCCCCAAAACGUUCCUGCUCGGGGGGUAGUACUUUCCGAAAGUACAGGAACCUUUUGGGUGGAGCUUGCAGCGCUGAACAUUUCUGAUUGGUCGAAUACUCGUAGCAUUUGUGUUGUAUUUAUUUUCCGCCAUUACCCGCCAUGUUUGAAAAUAUGCAGCGGCAAACCAAUUUAUUUUCAUAAUAACUUCAAAUCAAACUUGUAUGUUAUGCGGCGCAGUAGCCUACUUUUGGUUAUAGCCUGAAAAUUUUGAGAUUCCCCAUGAUUGUGAUGACGUCACAUGUCAAAGUUAGGGUAUUCCCAUCAUUGUUGAUCAAACUGGUUCCUCCAAACUCUCGAUGCUCCAUGGUAAAAGUACACCACAUAUGACUAUUCACUCAUAUAAUCAAUAUGUAAUCCAAUAAAGCUGUAUCAUUAGUUGCAGCUGAGCUUAUGGAAACGCAAGAAACCACAGUAUCAACUGUAUAAAAAAAGCAAAAGAAUGCAGAAGGCUUAAAAAAAACCACACUUACUCACUCAGCAGAAAACAUUAAUCAAAUACUAAUCAUACACUUAUAUUUUCAAACUGAUCAACUGCUAAUAAAUCUGCUAGAAGACUAAUAUUUUACAGUGACCCCUAUGUAACCUGAAUAUGGAAAAUUACAGGAGGCUGUGACUUGUAUUCUUAAUGGAAAAUUACAGAAUAAAGACUAAUGUUUUUUAAGGGAAAGUUGGGGUAACUUUCCACAAUGACGUUAUCACCCAAGAACAGGAAAUCAUUGUGGUGCCAAGAAGGUCAGAUGGUAUUUUAAGGAAUGUGUUAGGGGGAGUUAUGGGGAGCACAGUGUAUAAAAUGGAUGUAAAACUGACAAUCGAGGUUCAAUUCUGCAGAGUUGAUCCGGCUUUGUGCACCUGUGCAAAUAAAGUCUAACUUUUCUGAA